GACGAACGCUGGCGGCGUGCUUAACACAUGCAAGUCGAACGGAAAGGCCCUGCUUGCGUGGUGUGCUCGAGUGGCGAACGGGUGAGUAACACGUGAGUAACCUGCCCUUGACUUUGGGAUAACUUCAGGAAACUGGGGCUACUACCGGAUAGCAGCUCCUGCUGCGUGGUGGGGGUUGGAAAGUUUCGGCGGUUGGGGAUGGACUCGCGGAUUAUCAGUUUGUUGGUGGGGUAGUGGCUGACCAAGGCUUGGACGGAUAGCCGGCCUGAGAGUGUGAACGGCGACAUUGGGACUACGAUACGGGCCAGACUCCUACGGGAGGCAGCGGUGGGGAGUAUUGCACAGUGGGCGGAAGCCUGAUGCAGCGACGCCGCGUUCGGGAUGACGGCCUGCGGGUUGUAAACCGCUUUCGCCUGUGACGAAGCGUGAGUGACGGUAAUGGGAGAAGAAGCACCGGCUAACUACGUG
rnacentral:rRNA from 1 species